UCAUAGUAAGCCUGUCCCGGCUUCCUCCCGUCAGAUGCGUGGAGGCAAGCCAGGUGACAGAGCUGUUGCAGGUUUGUAUUGGCAAACAUUUGCUUUUCCCGUUUUAAUGCAUUUUUUUAACACCAACUAACUUAUGCAACUUAGAUGCUGAUUACUGUGAGCCAGAGCCAUAGUGUUGUUUUGCACUGAACAGAACGGAAUUGGCCAGGUGAACCUUUUUGGGUAUGAAAAAGGAUGGUGAGCCAAUGAACGGCUAGGAGCAGGACUCAUUCUGCAUUGAAGCUUCCACUGGUUGGGUAGGAAGCUAUCAAAGACGACGCUCUGUCCCCAUUUUCCAAAUACACUGAUUUCCACAAUCAUACACACCAUUCCCCCCGUUUAUGGACAAUAGCGCUUGGACAUCUCUCAUGGACAUUCAGAUAAAACUCAUGGACUUCAGUGUGGAUCAGUGGUUUUGAUGUUAACAUGUGUUAUUUAUGGGGAACUGUUUUUUGAGAAUCUAUAUUGCUUGGUAUAAGCCAUAAGCCAGAAGAAUUUGCUUAGUUGUCUUUGUGCACCCCCAUUGGGUU